UACGUAGGGUGCAAGCGUUGUCCGGAAUUAUUGGGCGUAAAGAGCUCGUAGGCGGCUUGUCGCGUCGUCCGUGAAAACCUGCAGCUCAACUGCAGGCUUGCGGUCGAUACGGGCAGGCUCGAGUUCGGUAGGGGAGUCUGGAAUUCCUGGUGUAGCGGUGAAAUGCGCAGAUAUCAGGAGGAACACCGGUGGCGAAGGCGGGACUCUGGGCCGAUACUGACGCUGAGGAGCGAAAGCGUGGGGAGCGAACAGG
rnacentral:rRNA from 1 species